GGGGGCGAAAUGGCUUCGACGGAGUAAUGAAAGGUUAUUAGGCGAGUAGAUAAUAAUACUAAAUCUUAAAAAAUGUAUUAAACUUUUAGAUGCCAAUAUCAAUAUUACAUCUGGUCUUGUUGUCGCUAAUGAUGAGUUUUAUACUCCUCUCGUAGCUGCCGCAUAAUAAUGACCUCUGCUGAUUUACGCAGGAAACAGAAGAUAAAUCAACCAGGAAAUGUAGCUGCCUGUUAUAAUCUAGAAGCACUAUCUUUUUCAAGAUAUAAAAUUUGAAAUUAGUUAAAUAUGUUAAUUGAAAAGUUUGACUAAUUAUAUAUAUUAACAAAAUACUCGUAAUACUUAAUAAUUUAAUAGUUAUUUCGGACGGGAAGUUCGACUCUUCCCCGCUUCCACCA
rnacentral:tmRNA from 1 species